UCAUAGCUUAGUAGGUAGAGCACACCCCUGAUAAGGGUGAGGUCAUUGGUUCAAAUCCAAUAACGGACGCCCA
rnacentral:tRNA from 1 species